rnacentral:rRNA from 1 species
GACGAACGCUGGCGGCGUGCUUAACACAUGCAAGUCGAACGGAAAGGCCCUGCUUUUGUGGGGUGCUCGAGUGGCGAACGGGUGAGUAACACGUGAGUAACCUGCCCUUGACUUUGGGAUAACUUCAGGAAACUGGGGCUAAUACCGGAUAGGAGCUCCUGCUGCAUGGUGGGGGUUGGAAAGUUUCGGCGGUUGGGGAUGGACUCGCGGCUUAUCAGCUUGUUGGUGGGGUAGUGGCUUACCAAGGCUUUGACGGGUAGCGGGCCUGAGAGGGUGACCGGCCAAAUUGGGACUGAGAUACGGCCCAGACCCCUACGGGAGGCAGCAGUGGGGAAUAUUGCACAAUGGGAGGAAGCAUGAUGCAGCAACGCCGCGUGCGGGAUAACGGCCUUCGCGUUGUAAACCGCUUUCGCCUGUGACGAAGCGUGAGUGACGGUACUGGGUAAAGAAGCACCGGCUAACUACGUG